rnacentral:tRNA from 1 species
GGCCGCGUAGCUCAGUUGGUUAGAGCGUUGGCUGCACUCGUCUCUGUCCUUAAUGUCGUGGGCUCGAAUCUCACCGAGGCCA